rnacentral:sRNA from 1 species
GCGGAUGCUAACGCAAUGUGA